UGGGGAAUUUUGGACAAUGGGCGAAAGCCUGAUCCAGCAAUGCCGCGUGUGUGAAGAAGGCCUUCGGGUUGUAAAGCACUUUUGUCCGGAAAGAAAUCCUUGGCUCUAAUACAGUCGGGGGAUGACGGUACCGGAAGAAUAAGCACCGGCUAACUACGUGCCAGCAGCCGCGGUAAUACGUAGGGUGCAAUCGUUAAUCGGAAUUACUGGGCGUAAAGCGUGCGCAGGCGGUUUGCUAAGACCGAUGUGAAAUCCCCGGGCUCAACCUGGGAACUGCAUUGGUGACUGGCAGGCUAGAGUAUGGCAGAGGGGGGUAGAAUUCCACGUGUAGCAGUGAAAUGCGUAGAGAUGUGGAGGAAUACCGAUGGCGAAGGCAGCCCCCUGGGCCAAUACUGACGCUCAUGCACGAAAGCGUGGGGAGCAAACAGGAUUAGAUACCCUGGUAGUCCACGCCCUAAAACGAUGUCAACUAGUUGUUGGGGAUUCAUUUCCUUAGUAACGUAGCUAACGCGUGAAGUUGACCGCCUGGGGAGUACGGUCGCAAGAUUAAAACUCAAAGGAAUUGACGGGGUCAUAGCUG
rnacentral:rRNA from 1 species